CGCACUCUGGUCUUCCCUUGCAG
rnacentral:miRNA from 1 species